AGCAGCCGCGGUAAUUCCAGCUCCAAUAGCGUAUAUUAAAGUUGUUGCAGUUAAAAAGCUCGUAGUUGAAUUUCGGGAUCAACAUAUCGGUCGUGCCUCCGGUACGUACUGGCAUCGUUGGUUUCUACCUUCUGACAAACUAUGAUGUCAUUAAUUUGGUGUCAUGGGGAAUCAGGACUGUUACUUUGAAAAAUUAGAGUGUUUAAAGCAGGCUCGCGCUUGGAUACAUUAGCAUGGAAUAAUGAAAUAGGACGUUUGACCCUAUUUGUUGGUUUCUAGGAUCGACGUAAUGAUUAAUAGGGAUAGUUGGGGCAUUAGUAUUCAAUUGUCAGAGGUGAAAUUCUUGGAUUUAUUGAAGACUAACUACUGCGAAGGCAUUUGCCAAGGAUGUUUCUAUUAAUACAAGAACG
rnacentral:rRNA from 1 species